CACGUCAGCUUUGGAGCUCUUCUAAAUGCAGAAACUGCCGUAACAGUCGAAGCAUGUGAAAGUCGAGCUCGGCAUCCUAGAAAGUUUUAUAGUUUAACGGUUAUCACUGACAGGAAAAAGCGGUUCUGUCAGAAGUGAGGGACCAUAAACACCAGACAGAACGUACGUUCACAUUUUGGAACAGAGAAAUCUUAAUAUUGGGUAACAGUCCAGGCUAAAGGGCUUGAGCUCAGGCCUUGCGAGCUGUGAAGACCUCUCGGUACAACCUCACCGAGCUGCUAACCACUAAAAAUGGGAACAGUUCUACAAGUUGUUUCUAGUUGUGCAUGCUGUUACAGGCCAAACCGCCGAGAUAGUUCUAGUGAAGACAACAGAUACCUAAGAAACAGUUGGCUACGAAUCAUGACGUCGAAACUGCGGCGACAGAAUGGGACACCUGAGACUCUAUCACGGAACAAAAGAGCCGAAGAACAAGAGCUCGGAUGUGAUCAUUUCGCUUGGAAAGACUCAUCCAUAUCACUGGAAAGUCAUAUAUUCAAAAAGCAGAACGAUGAAGAUUUUAAACGCAUUUCUAUUUAGCACAUUUUUAUGACGCAUUCUGUCCUAUUCAGAUUUUGAAAUUGUCGUCAGUAACACUUAAGUUUAGGGACCAGUCAAAACCUCCCCCUCCUCCGAAAUCUUCCAACUCCCCCUCCCCCCCUUCGACGAUAAAUAAUGGUCUCUUAGGCUUCUCCUUUGCAAAAUAUAACAUGGGAUGUGAGCACUUCUCUCAUAACUGAAUUUUUUUUUCUGUUAUGUCAAAUUGAUAAUUGAUAUUACAACGAAGAUAGAAAGGAUACACAAUUGAACAGUGUUGCAGUGGACUUUGGUUUUAUUACAAAACCCUUAAUUUUUACAUGGAUACAUCAGUUUAAUUAUAAAUUAUUGGUAGAUUAUGUACAUUAAUUUAACAUGUUAAUACUUUUCAUGCAUGUAAUUAUAUUAUUUUCAUGACUACAUUAGGAAACAACGCAAUAAUCUAUACCUGUAAAAUGUUAUGAUUUAAUAAGUUACACUUUAUCAUUAAAUUAUGUACACAUUAUUUAUCUGUC